rnacentral:rRNA from 1 species
GUCGAACGGCAGCGGGUCGUAGCAAUACGAUGCCGGCGAGUGGCGCACGGGUGCGUAACACGUAUGCAAUCUACCUCAAACCGGGACAUAACAUUGAGAAAUCGAUGCUAAUAUCCCAUAACACUAUGAUGUGGCAUCACAAUAUAGUUAAAGCUCCGGCGGGUUAAGAUGGGCAUGCGUACCAUUAGCUUGUUGGUGAGGUAACGGCUCACCAAGGCAACGAUGGCUAGGGGGCCUGAGAGGGUGAUCCCCCACACUGGUACUGAGAUACGGACCAGACUCCUACGGGAGGCAGCAGUAGGGAAUAUUGGUCAAUGGAGGAGACUCUGAACCAGCCAUGCCGCGUGCAGGAAGACGGCCUUAUGGGUUGUAAACUGCUUUUAUAUGGGAAGAAACUCCACUACGUGUAGUGGACUGACGGUACCAUACGAAUAAGGAUCGGCUAACUCCGUGCCAGCAGCCGCGGUAAUACGGAGGAUCCAAGCGUUAUCCGGAUUUAUUGGGUUUAAAGGGUACGCAGGCGGGCUAAUAAGUCAGUGGUGAAAUCUCUCGGCUCAACCGAGAAACUGCCUUUGAUACUGUUAUUCUUGAGUUCAGAUGAGGUGGGCGGAAUGUGACAUGUAGCGGUGAAAUGCAUAGAUAUGUCACAGAACACCGAUCGCGAAGGCAGCUCACUAAGCUGUAACUGACGCUCAGGCACGAAAGCGUGGGGAGCAAACAGGAUUAGAUACCCUGGUAGUCCACGCCGUAAACGAUGAUUACUCGAUGUUGGCAAUAUACCGUCAGCGUCCAAGCGAAAGCGUUAAGUAAUCCACCUGGGGAGUACGAUCGCAAGAUUGAAACUCAAAGGAAUUGACGGGGGCCCGCACAAGCGGAGUAGCAUGUGGUUUAAUUCGAUGAUACGCGAGGAACCUUACCUGGGCUCAAACGUAGAGUGACCAUCUGUGAAAGCAGAUUUUCCUUCGGGACAGUCUACGAGGUGCUGCAUGGUUGUCGUCAGAUCGUGCAGUGAGGUCUAGGGUUAAGUCAUAUAACGAGCGCAACCCCUAUCGUUAGUUGCUAGCAGGUCAAGCUGAGGACUCUAACGAGACUGCCGGUGUAAACCUAGAGGAAGGUGGGGAUGACGUCAAAUCAGCACGGCCCUUACGUCCAGGGCUACACACGUGUUACAAUGGCCGAUACAGAGGGCAGCUACCUGGUGACAGGAUGCAAAUCUCGAAAGUCGGUCUCAGUUCGGAUCGGAGUCUGCAACUCGACUCCGUGAAGGUGGAUUCGCUAGUAAUCGCGUAUCAGCAAUGACGCGGUGAAUACGUUCCCGGGCCUUGUACACACCGCCCGUCAAGACAUGGGAGUUGGGGGGACCUGAAGUCGAUCACCGCAAGG